rnacentral:lncRNA from 1 species
AACAUCCUUUAACAACUUCGACGGAAAAACUAAUAUGUAAAAUAUGAUUUAAGGUAGAGAAAAGAUUUUUUUUAUGCACUGAUCACUUUCAUUUUAUUUAGAUAAGCAGUAAAAUGCAAAAUAAGAAAACAAAUAAAAAAGAACCCAGUUAGUAGAUUUUGAGGAGGACGACCAGAACAAAAUUUCACAAAAUAACUAUGAAAAUAUCUUCUUUCUAAAUAUGUUGUUUGCAUACCAAUAAAAUAAUAUCUACUUUCUAUUCAAAGAAAGACAACUCGUCUUUCAAAUACUUAAAUAUCUUUCUCUGGGAAUCGACAAAUUAAUGAUGCGUGUUAUGAUUAUUUUUUUUUUAUUAUCUGGCAUUGUUAAAUUUGCCUGCAGAAAGAAAACAACUUUGUAUUCUGAAUGGCGUUUUGUUUUUAUGAAUAGCAUUUUUUUUCAAGAUUUAUAGUAUUUAAUGUCAGCACGCGUAAUAACUACAUACCAGAUGAGGUGAUACCUACAAUAAUUCAGACGUCGAUUAGAAGCAGCAUUGACACAGUGAAUGUAAAAAGGAAAAUACCGCUAGUAGUUUAUGCCACAGGACUAAGUGCAUCCAGCUAUCCGUUUUUCUCAAGUUUUUUUUUUUUUUUUUGGGGGGGGGGGGGGAGGGGAGGUUAGGACCAUGGUUUGAUUAGAACUUUUGAGGUUUUUAUGGUUUUGUUAUAUUUUGUAUAUACUUGUAUUUAUGUUUUACUUUAUGGUACUUUAUUAAGAAGUUGUAAAUGAAAAAAAAAAGAAAACAAUUGUUAACAAACUAACUGAACUCCUAGGUAAAUUAUGUUUUACUAAACUGUGUGUACGAUGAGCUUCACACAACUUUUCGAUGGCGUCUUUGUCAGAUUUUUUGUAACGUUAACCAAGUGUGUCAGUUUGGGUUGCCAACUUCAUAAGGUCAAUAUAACGGACUUGUUAAAAAAAAACUGUCAUGCAAGUGGGAUGUUUAGCUAGUUAAUAAAAAAAAAGUAAAAUCACAAAAAUACUGAACUCCGAGGAUAAUUCAAAUCGGAAAGUUCAUAAUCACAUGGCAAAAUCAAAUGAUAAAACAUAUCAAACGAAUGGACAACAACUAUUAUAUUCCUGACUUGGUACAGGCAUUUUCAAAUGUAGAAAAUGUGGAUUGAACCUGGUUUUAUAGCGCUUAACCUCUCACUUUAGCAUCGAAUUCCAUUAUAUUGACAAUGAUGCGUGAAAAAAAUGUCACAAAUAGGGGUACAAAAAAGCAACACGAAUCCCAUCAAAACUGGAGUGAUUUCAGGUGCUCCGGAAGGGUAAGCAGAUCCUGCUUCACAUGAAGCACAAGUCGUGUUGAUGAUGUUAUUACAAAGCCAGUAAAUAGUCAAAUUCGAUAGGUCACAUUCGUGAAAAGGGAAGGGGAUUGUAGUUACGAUAAAGAGAACAUAUCCGAUACAACUUGUAUAAGGCGUUGAGGCCUGGAUUGAGUCGGGUGUGUCUAUUCUGUGUUGGUCUUUCAUUGUGUAUUCGUGUUUGUUUUAUGUAAUGAGUUAAUACUUCAGUUUAAUUAUGUAUAUCUGUUAUAUUCAUUUGAUAAAAUUUACUGUUUGCAAUAGCAUUAAUUGUUCUAAAUAAUAAGGAUGUUCUUAUCCCAAGCAUAAAAACUUAAAAACUUAGCCGUAUUUGACACAACCUUUUUCAACUUUUGAUCUUCAGUGCUGUACAACUUUGUACUUUUUUUCGCUUUCGAUCUUUUAUAUCUGGGCGUCACUGGUGAGUCUUGUGUGGACGAGGCGCGUUUUUGGCGUAUUAAAUUUUAAACCUGAUGCUUUUUGUUAUUCAUUAAUCAUGUGUUUCUUUGUCUAAUACGUUCUCCUAUUUAUUUGUAUUGUAGUCCUGUAAUAUUAUGUUGUCAUUUCAAUGUUAUAUUUAACAUUGCCAUUAAAGUGCGAGGUUUGGCAUGCCACAAAAUAGUUAUCAAAAGUACCAGGAUUAUAAUUUUAUACGCCAGACGCGCGUUUCGUCUACAUAAGACUCAUCAGUGACGCUCAGAUCAAAAUAGUUAAAAAGCCAAAACCAUGUUCAACCCACCAUUUUAUCCUUUAAAAAUGUCCUGUACCAAGUCAGGAAUAUGGCCAUUGUUAUAUUAUAGUUCGUUUCUGUGUGUGUUACAAUUUAACGUUGCGUCGUUUGUUUUCUCUUAUUUUUGAGUGUAAAUUGAAAUUGCGAUAAGACGUGUCACGGUACUUGUCUAUCCCUAAUUCAUGUAUUUGAUUUUGAUGUUAUAUUUGUUAUUCUCGUGGGAUUUUGUCUGAUGCUUGGUCCGUUUCUGUGUGUGUUACAUUGUAGUGUUGUGUCGUUGUUCUCCUCUUAUAUUUAUGCGUUUCGCUCAGUUUUAGUUUGUUACCCGAUUUUGUUUUUUGUCCAUGGAUUUAUGAGUUUGAACAGCGGUAUACUACUGUUGCCUUUAUGUAUAACGGAUAUUCCAUAACGGUCGACCAACUCGUGAUUGCGUCCGUAAAAGUUACGAAGGGAUGAUUUCAACUUCACCAUUUGGAUCUCUUGGUUUAAAAAGGAAAAGGUCACAAUUGAGAAGCUGAAAUCAUCUCUUUAGUAGUAAAGUUUUGUUUUCAACCGACUCUCAUAGUCAAUUUCUAGAUAUAAGUCAUAAUCAAAUGGCAAAAUCAAAAGCUCAACACAUCAAACGAAUGAGUAACAACUGUCAUAUUCCUGAUAUGGUACAGGCAUUUUCAUAUGUAGAAAAUGGUACAUUGAACCUGAUUUUGUAGCGCUUAACAUCUCACUUGUAUGACAGUCGCAUCAAAUUCCAUUAUAUUUACAACGAUGCGUGAACAAAAGCCACAUUAUAGGUAAAAUAGUUAAAAUGUUUGAAACUAGUUUGUUGUCUUUAUCGAUUCAGGAAUUUGACAGUUGUUUUCAAUUCGAUCCGUCGGUAGAUAUAAUUGAGCUGUUAUAUUGUCAAGUUUUAAAGACUUGUCCGUUUUGAAUUUCCCCAAGAGUUAAUACCCUUUAUAUGUUAACUCUGGUAAGUGGAUUUUCUUAAUUUUUCAAGGUACGAUCAUGCCAGUAUAUAGUUGAAUAGACACCAAAUAGUAAUUCACUCAGUGCCAUGUUUUCUACUUGCAGAAUCAUCGACUAGUGGUGUAAUUUAUCAGAGGAAAAGAAAAUGUCCAUGGUGCACAAAUCGAAACAGAUAACAUGCCAAAUCACAUACAAAGACAAAAAGCAUUAAACAACAAUAAUUCGAAAAUAUCUAAGUUAGAAGAGCCUUAUUGUUUCGAAUGAUUCAACAUUUUAUGCAAGUAAUACGAGCAGGCCAUGAACAUAAUGAAACCGGAAAAAAACGUUUGAUGAACAUAUGUUGCUAUGUGAAAUAUAUGAAAGAGUUUAACUAUUUUCAGUAAGAUGAACAUUUUUAUUGUGGCUUUGGUACAAUAGUUUUAAUUGUUUAUCCUCGUCGUCUUGCUGAACUUGCUUUUGCAUUUACAUUUAACAGAAUUGGCACCCGUGUCACUAUGAUUUUGAGUCUCCAAAAAUAAAAAUAAAUACCAC